rnacentral:rRNA from 1 species
AGAGUUUGAUCAUGGCUCAGAUUGAACGCUGGCGGCAUGCUUUACACAUGCAAGUCGAACGGCAGCACAGGGAGCUUGCUCCCGGGUGGCGAGUGGCGCACGGGUGAGUAAUACAUCGGAACGUGUCCUGUUGUGGGGGAUAACUGCUCGAAAGGGUGGCUAAUACCGCAUGAGACCUGAGGGUGAAAGCGGGGGAUCGCAAGACCUCGCGCAAUUGGAGCGGCCGAUGCCCGAUUAGCUAGUUGGUGAGGUAAAGGCUCACCAAGGCGACGAUCGGUAGCUGGUCUGAGGAGGACGACCAGCCACACGUGGGACUGGAGACACGGCCCAGACCUCCGUACGGGAGGCA